UCUGUCACCUGAAGAGGGCUGCUGAAGUGAAGCAAACAUUUCGAGGGAGGGGGCGACGGGCCGGCCUCUCCGGGGACCAGGCGAGAGCAGGCUCCCGCUGCAGCAGGGCUGCAGAGAUGGGGUCCCCUCUGAUAAUUCUGUAAUCAUCCUCUGUUGAAAAUAAAGGUCUACAAAGUGUCCGUUACCCUGGAGCUGUACAAGUCACACACAGCUCCAUUGGAGAGAAAACUGGAUGGAACCAUUUGACUGAAAAUCCAUGUCAAAAGGCCAACAAGAAAGAGCUGAGACACUGCAGAAAGAGCAGGAAUAAAUAAGAGGUGAAGACAGACAGAGACCAGACAAGGAGGACUCAAUUACAGACUGACAGAAGACUCAAGGAAGAAAAUGAAGGUGUCUCCAGCCCCUUCAAGUUAUGCCUUUGGGAUGCUGGACCUGUGAAGAACUGUCGAAACAGCUGUAGAGGAAUUGUGGUGGAGGCAGUAAUGGCUCCUUUAGUAGCAGAGAAUAGAAAGAUCUCGAAAAUAAAGCCUAUUGUCAGGAGACUUGCACCCAUCCUGGCCUACUUCCAAGGGGAUAAUGUGGAGGCAUCAGAGAAACAAAAACAGAAACGAAGAUAUCCAUGAUACCUAAUGUUACAAGGAGAAGAAAGCACUUGUAAUCACAAGGGUACUGAGAAAAGGUAACAGACACAUUUAUAUAUGUGGAACCAGGAAUCUUUCUGAUGACUUUCAGAAAGGGUGGACAUACAAAUAAAAAUCAACCUUCUUCUUGGUGAGGAUUUGACCCUGGUUCCAUAUUAACCCAAGAGCUGAUAAGCACAAACCUGGAGUCCAGUUUUUAUGCAAAUAUAACAACUCUGCUUAUACCUUGAAUUACUUGUAUGAAGCGGGGAAAAUUUUUUACUCUCUCUGAACCCAUAAUUAAAAAAAAUCUGUAUGACUUGGAUAAUAAACCCACUUCCUAGAAUUUUUAUGAAUAUGAAAUAUUGUGUGAACUACCUAGUAUGUUAUGGAGCACAUGGUUUGUGUUUAAUAUGUGGAAGCUAGUAUUGCUAUUAUUGUUGUUGUUAUAAACAAUAGCACUUCUAUCUACAUAAUUCUCAAACUUUCCCCCUGAAGCUCAAGAUACUUUAGUACAUGAAUUAUUAUUAACUUCAAUGCACAGAUUGAGAAACUGGGAAAAAAUAUGCAAGCCGCAGAGUGGAGAAAGAAAAUUCCAGGUGUCCAUAUUCCUUGUCAUGUAAUUGCCACUGUAAUUAGAUCUACGUGAUGAUGACCUUUAGGGGACUGCCUCAGAGUGCUGAAUUGUUCAAUUCACUAGAGUGGCACCAUCAAAAUGACCUGAUAAUGUUAGCACAAUUGUCCUUGUACCAAGCAGAAGAGUCCUUUCAUUCCUUUUCUUCCUGUAGUUCCAGGGCUACACAAGCCCAGCAAAAAGCAGAAGCAGUGAAUGAACAAAUUAUUUGGGAUGAUGCUAGUGGCUGAUGUCUCAGAGGAGGCAAGCACCCUUUCUCAGACAACCCAGUUUCUUGACUCUCAGCCUUCUUUGGUUUAACUUUGGAUUGUUAACCCUUUACUGCCUGAAACUUUGUCUAACUCCCUGUGCCUUUGGAGUAUGAAGUUCCCAGUAUAUCAUCUGCAUUGAUUUUGGUUCCUGUUUCACAAGCUGUGCAUCACAGACCUUUAUCUUGCAAUUAUCCAUGGUCCGGAUGACCAACUUCAGCCUUAAAACCAGGAGCAGACUUUUCCAAUCAACUUUUGCAAAUUCAAGGGGAAAGAAAGAAAAGAACCAUGUAGGCUCUUGGAUGUUACUUCUCUUAGGGAAAAAGGAAGGAUAUAGCUUGAUAUUUUUACUGCAGUCUCCCCAAACUUUCCACUCAUCAUGCUGCCAACAUCAUUAUUAAUCUGUACCUUCUCUGGAAUUUUAUGGGCAUGUUGAAUUCAUUGUCAUCUCCAGAAAAGAGCAAAGCAUGGUGUGGACAAUUUAAAACCACAUUCAGUUGCUUUAUUUUGGCCAAAAGUUUAAACAUUUUUGUUCUUUAUUUUUUUUUUAGCUUGUUAAGCCGUUUGCAGAACUACUGCUAUAGAUUAAACCUGACAGGUCUAAGCACAUAGUAUAACUGUAUAACUGUGUGAUGCACACAUGUGUGUAUUCCCUUCCCUACACACACACACACACACACACACACACACACACACACACACACACAUUCCAUCAGCAUGUCAGAUUUAUGGAAUUUGAAAUGUUUCUUUCUCUAGAGAAUGGUAUAACAUUUACAUAAAAUAUCAGCUUACAUUUUGUGAAAUUUGACAAAUUACUCAUAAAUCUCUCUUUCUCCCUUAAUCUGUUCUUGACAUGUCCCCAAAAGUUUUGAGAUGGCCUUAGUGAUACAUCUUAUACUCAUGUCAAGUAUUUUGUUGACAUCAAUAGGAGUUUUACUCAUGUAAGAAGCCCUGGAUUGGGUUACCAGACACAUGAAGCAGACAAGAAGCAUUCAAAAGUUGCCAGCGAAUAAGAAGUGUCAAAUAAGUGUCCACCACAAGAGCAAAUAUCCCUGGGUAUCCAUUAACUUCAAUAAACAGAACAUAUUUGGCAGUGUGCUGUUUGACAUGGAUUUACAAAGGAGUUUGCCAAAUCAUUUUUUUCUUUCUCUCUGUGAAAUGUCAGUGAAAGAAAAAAUAGGGGAAUGGUGGUCCCAUUACUGGAUAAUUUCUAUAAUAUUGUAUAAGAAAGAUAAGUUAUUUGAUAUUCAAGAUAUGUAUAGUGCACAGAGGCACCAAUUUGGUGGGGAAUUGAUGACUCUUUCACCAAUCUUCUAAGCACUGGCUUUUACAAAGCCAGUCCUAUGACUUACGGCCCCAUUCUGAGUAAAACACAUAGUUCAAUAUCUCUUGACUGGUAUCUUAAAAAAUUGUUUAAAACAAAUGUUCUUCUAUUUCUGUUUUAGCAUUUAUUUUUGUUUGCACAUGACUAAGGCUGUUUCUUUUUGGUAAAUUUAAUUUGCUAUAGUCUGGACCCCAACACUGAAAGAAUGCAUCCUCUGAGAUAGGGCUGCCAACUAUGGCAAGUAGCAUUGCAAAGUAUAUAAAUUUGCUCUAUAUACUUUUCAAACUUCUCGGAUGCAGUCACUGACAUUUGGCCUGAUCUAGGAAACCCUGGGGAUUGGAAAAACACAAAGCAUACUACUGUACUGACAUGCAAAAUGUCUUAUAAUCUGUCUUUAUCUUUCAUGGCUGCAGUGGUCUGGAUAAAUUAGACCAAAUUGGGCUAAACACUGUCCUUGGCUACACUCACGUAGCUGUUUUCAACGGCUAAUAGGAGCUGUGUGUGCACAUCCAAGGACAGGAUUUGGCCCCCUUUGUCUUUGCACAAGCAGUUGCUUUAGUUGAUAUGAUUAUUCCUGAAUGACUGUUUUAUAAGCAGUAUUUUUGCCCAGUUUUAAUCUUUUUUCACUUUAUUCUUCAUAGUCAAGACAUUUAUGAAUAUGGAAACGUGUAACCUAAAAUCUUCGGUUUCUGGAAAAAUAAAAAUCUCCCUAAUAAAACCUGUGAAAAUUGCAAAUGAACUGGGAAAGAGGUAAAGCAAGUCAUAUAAACGUUGGCAAAAACACAAGUAACACUGAGAAAACGUGUUAACACUCAUUAAUGGUUAACAAUCUGAUUAAAAUUUUUACAGCACAUUGAUCCUUGGCCUUUCAAAAGGGAAUCUGUCAUUAAAUAAUAUUUUCAAGGAAAAUAUUAGAAUGGGAUGUGCCUAAGUUUAUAUAAAUGACAGUUAAAAAGAUAACUGUCACAAUGUUUACUGAUGAGGUUUCCAUUUCUCUUAACGUUUAGAAGUUAAAUGAAAAAUGGAUUGUGGAUUAUAGCCUGAGCAGAUUUGAGCCUAAAUGUAAUAUAACAGCUUGUGGCAAAUGGAGGUAGCAGGAGAGUAGAGCCAACUAGCCAAAAAUCCCCUGGAAAGGUGAAACUGAAAUCACUCAUUCAUUCAAAAAGUGUUUACUGAGUAGCUUCAAAGAGCAAAUAUUAGAUGAAGUAUCCCAUCAUUUGAUUCUGGAUUGAGAACUCUUUGAGAGCAGAGACGAUGGCUUCACCUGAGUAUCCCCAGAGCCUGACGUUAGACAAGU
rnacentral:lncRNA from 1 species